AUUGAACGCUGGCGGCAGGCCUAACACAUGCCAGUCGAGCGGAUGAAGGGAGCUUGCUCCUGGAUUCAGCGGCGGACGGGUGAGUAAUGCCUAGGAAUCUGCCUGGUAGUGGGGGAUAACGUCAGGAAACGGGCGCUAAUACCGCAUACGUCCUGAGGGAGAAAGUGGGGGAUCUUCGGACCUCACGCUAUCAGAUGAGCCUAGGUCGGAUUAGCUAGUUGGUGGGGUAAAGGCCUACCAAGGCGACGAUCCGUAACUGGUCUGAGAGGAUGAUCAGUCACACUGGAACUGAGACACGGUCCAGACUCCUACGGGAGGCAGCAGUGGGGAAUAUUGGACAAUGGGCGAAAGCCUGAUCCAGCCAUGCCGCGUGUGUGAAGAAGGUCUUCGGAUUGUAAAGCACUUUAAGUUGGGAGGAAGGGCAGUAAGUUAAUACCUUGCUGUUUUGACGUUACCAACAGAAUAAGCACCGGCUAACUUCGUG
rnacentral:rRNA from 1 species